rnacentral:ncRNA from 1 species
GGGUGCCAGGUCCCCGAAGGGAGCAGGCAGGGUUGAGCGUUGGUCGGGCCGCCAGCG